rnacentral:antisense_RNA from 1 species
AGCUUUGAAUGGGCCAAAUAAAUUAAAAUUGAUAGUAGAAAUAUUGAAGUUUACAACAGAGUAGAAAAUAGAGAUUUAAUAAAAUGGGAUAUAAAGAAAAGAGAAAAAUUUGGUACGACCGAGUGGAUUCGAACCACCGACCCCUACCA